AGGGAAGCGAGCCCGCGAGGGGGAGCGAAUCCCAAAAAUAACGUCCCAGUUCGGACUGUAGUCUGCAACCCGACUACAUGAAGCCGGAAUCGCUAGUAAUCGCGGAUCAGAAUGCCGCGGUGAAUACGUUCCCGGGUCUUGUACACACCGCCCGUCACACCAUGGGAGUCGGAAAUGCCCGAAGUCUGUGACCCAACCGCAAGGAGGGAGCAGCCGAAGGCAGGUCGGAUGACUGGGGUGAAGUCGUAACAAGGUAAC
rnacentral:rRNA from 1 species